GACGAACGCUGGCGGCGUGCCUAAUACAUGCAAGUCGAGCGGAAAUUUUAUUGGUGCUUGCACCUUUAAAAUUUUAGCGGCGGACGGGUGAGUAACACGUGGGUAACCUACCUUAUAGAUCGGGAUAACUCCGGGAAACCGGGGCUAAUACCGAAUAAUACUUUUUAACACAUGUUUGAAAGUUGAAAGACGGUCUUGCUGUCACUAUAAGAUGGACCCGCGGCGCAUUAGCUAGUUGGUGAGGUAACGGCUCACCAAGGCAACGAUGCGUAGCCGACCUGAGAGGGUGGUCGGCCACACUGGGACUGAGACACGGCCCAGACUCCUACGGGAGGCAGCAGUAGGGAAUCUUCCACAAUGGACGAAAGUCUGAUGGAGCAACGCCGCGUGAGUGAAGAAGGAUUUCAGUUCGUAAAACUCUGUUGCAAGGGAAGAACAAGUAGCGUAGUAACUGGCGCUACCUUGACGGUACCUUGUUAGAAAGCCACGGCUAACUACGUGCCAGCCGCCGCGGUAAAAC
rnacentral:rRNA from 1 species